AGUGGAAGGGUAACCGACCAUGGAGCGCUUGGGAGUGAGAAUGCAGACAUAAGUAACGAUAAAGAUGGUUGAAUUCCAUCUCGCCUAAAUCCCAAGGAUUCCUGGGGAAGGUUCGUCCUCCCAGGGUUAGUCGGGUGCUAAGACGAGGCCGUAAGGAGUAGUCGAUGCCAAGCUGGUUUAAUAUUCCAGCACCACUGUACUUGCGUUCGAUCUAAGGAGUGACGGAGAAAGUUAACAC
rnacentral:rRNA from 1 species